AGAGUUUGAUCCUGGCUCAGAACGAACGCUGGCGGCGUGGAUUAGGCAUGCAAGUCGAGCGAGAAAAGGGUAGCAAUACCCCUAGUAAAGCGGCGAAUUGGUGAGUAACAGGUGGGCAACGUUCCCUGAAGUGGGGGAUAACACCGGGAAACCGGUGCUAAUACCGCAUAUGGCCAUUAAGGCUAAGGCCUCUAUGGUUAAAGGAGCAAUUCGCUUCAGGAUCGGCCCGUCCCCGAUUAGCUAGUUGGUGAGGUAACGGCUCACCAAGGCAACGAUCGGUAGCUGGUCUGAGAGGAUGGUCAGCCACACUGGGACUGAGAUACGGCCCAGACUCCUACGGGGGGCAGCAGUCUAGAGGCUUCGGCAAUGGGGGAAACCCUGACCGAGCGACGCCGCGUGUGGGAUUGAAGGCCUUCGGGUCGUAAACCACUGUCAAGAGGGAAGAAUGUCUGGAUGGCGAAUUCAGAAGGGACGGUACCUCUGGAGGAAGCCCCGGCUAACUCCGUGCCAGCAGCCGCGGUAAUACGGAGGGGGCAAGCGUUGUUCGGAUUUACUGGGCGUAAAGGGUGUGUAGGCGGUUAUGUAAGUCUGGUGUGAAAUCUUCAUCGCUCAACGGGAAGAGGUCACUGGAAACUGCGUAACUCGAGUGUGGUAGAGGCAAGCGGAAUUCCUGGUGUAGCGGUGGAAUGUGUAGAUAUCAGGAAGAACAUCGGUGGCGAAAGCGGCUUGCUGGGCCAUUACUGACGCUGAGACACGAAAGCGUGGGGAGCAAACGGGAUUAGAUACCCCGGUAGUCCACGCCGUAAACUGUGCACACUAUGUGUGGGAGGUAUCGACCCCUUCCGUGCCGCAGUUAACACAUUAAGUGUGCCGCCUGGGGAGUACGGCCGCAAGGUUGAAACUCAAAGGAAUUGACGGGGGCCCGCACAAGCGGUGGAGGAUGUUGUUUAAUUCGACGCAACGCGAAGAACCC
rnacentral:rRNA from 1 species